GCUGGCAGGAAAGGUUUUCUGUGAGUAAAUGGAGCAUUUAUACAUGCUUUUGGGUUACAGGCUUGAAUUUCCAUGGCUAGUCCAAAGGAAAAUACCAACAGCUGAGCUCAUUUUUCAGAACACUGUAAUUACAACAGCAAGCCACAUUAGCACCCUGUCAUCUUUGAUAGGAGCCAUGCCCUUUCACAAGAAGAUGUAAGAAACCACACAGAUAAAAUGCCACAGAUGUGCAUGAUUUACAUGGGCUGUUUCCAGGCUGAUACACGUCCCAGAAGUAAGAGUGAGAAGGGAAGGACCAUUUGAUGCUCAGAUAGAUUGGAAACAGGUCCAUACCGUCAAGAAGACCUUGGUGUGAAAGACACCAGAAGGAUCUGGGAGAGCAAUUUUAGGCAAGUGGGCAGGG
rnacentral:lncRNA from 1 species